rnacentral:rRNA from 1 species
AAUGGUUGACCUCGGAU